GUGAGGAAUAUUGCACAAUGGGCGAAAGCCUGAUGCAGCAACGCCGCGUGAGUGAUGAAGGCCUUUGGGUCGUAAAACUCUGUCCUUGGGGAAGAAAAAAAUGACGGUACCCUUGGAGGAAGCCCCGGCUAACUACGUGCCAGCAGCCGCGGUAAUACGUAGGGGGCAAGCGUUAUCCGGAAUUAUUGGGCGUAAAGAGUGCGUAGGUGGUUUUGUAAGCGUAGGGUGAAAGGCAGUAGCUCAACUAUUGUUAGCCCUGCGAACUGUGAGACUUGAGUGCAGGAGAGGAAAGUGGAAUUCCUAGUGUAGCGGUGAAAUGCGUAGAUAUUAGGAGGAACACCAGUGGCGAAGGCGACUUUCUGGACUGUAACUGACACUGAGGCACGAAAGCGUGGGUAGCAAACAGGAUUAGAAACCCGUGUAGUCC
rnacentral:rRNA from 1 species